rnacentral:rRNA from 1 species
UUAGCUGGUCUGAGAGGAUGGCCAGCCACACUGGGACUGAGACACGGCCCAGACUCCUACGGGAGGCAGCAGUGGGGAAUAUUGGACAAUGGGGGCAACCCUGAUCCAGCAAUGCCGCGUGUGUGAAGAAGGCCUGAGGGUUGUAAAGCACUUUCAGUGGGGAGGAGGAUUGCUAGGUUAAGAGCUAGGUAAUUGGACGCUACCCACAGAAGAAGCACCGGCUAACUCCGUGCCAGCAGCCGCGGUAAUACGGAGGGUGCGAGCGUUAAUCGGAAUUACUGGGCGUAAAGGGUGCGUAGGUGGUUUGUUAAGUUAUCUGUGAAAUCCCUGGGCUUAACCUGGGCAGGUCAGAUAAGACUGAUGAACUGGAGUAUGG